rnacentral:lncRNA from 10 species
CCUAGGUUAAUUCCUACAAGUGAAAUUGCUGGAUCGAAGCACAUGGACAAGAAGUAUCUGUGGCACUUAUUGCAGAAAGUUUGCAUUGGUGGAACCUCGAGUGUCUGCUUUCCCACAUCCUUACCAGCACUGAGAAUUUUCUUUUUCAUGUUUUCCACCUCUCUGAAAUAAAAUUAAUACCUGAUUUUAAAAAAAACAACCUGUUUUCUGCUUCUUGCUACAUUUCGAAGGAGACAUUUGACUCAUUCUUAUGUGGAGGAUGACUUUCCCCAGGAUGGAAGACAAACAUUCUCAAACAGACAUGGUCCCUGUCCUCCUGGUACCUACAAUACUAAAAAGGAAAAAAAAAAAAAAAAAAAAAAAAAGUUUGGAGCUUCCUGUAAGCGAAGCCCUGAAGGUUCCAGGAGGUUUGGGCACCUGGAAAGGGCAUGGAAGCUGAGUGCCCCUUCCCACAUUCCUUGCCCUAUCCAUCUCUUCAUCUGGUGUUCAUCGAUAUCCUUUGUAAUGUCCUUAAUAGUAAACCGGAAAACAUGUACACCUAACAGCAUGGUAAGGAAGCCCCAGAAGGAUGUUUCUAAAGACCAUGAGGGAGUCUGAAACCUGAAAUCACGCCAAGGACUCUCUGCUUCCCUUUCACUUGGGGUGUCUACCUGAUGCUGCCACAACCAAUUGAAACAUAACAUUAAUAACAAAAUUAGUUUUUUUGUAACUUUAAAAAAAAGUGCUUAAUGAAUGAACAGGAACUUCUUCCUUAAUCCAGAAUUCUUCCAGCCAUUCCUUUCCAUUUUUUUCUGCACUGCAGCGAUGGAGGCCUGUGAUGAAAAAUCACCUAAUGGUGUUGAUUGAUAACUUGACAAGUGUAGACAGAUAUAAACAUGUUUUGAUACAGGCAUUCAAUUUGCUUGACUUUCUCUUUGCCGCACUGGAUGGUGUCUCCCAGAAAUGGUGAUUGG